GAGGAUGUAGCUCAGUAGUAGAGCCCUUGCCUUGCAUGCAUGAGGGCCUAGGUUUGUUUCCUGGCAUCACCA
rnacentral:tRNA from 1 species